rnacentral:rRNA from 1 species
GAUGAACGCUGGCGGCGUGCCUAAUACAUGCAAGUCGAGCGAACAGACGAGGAGCUUGCUCCUCUGACGUUAGCGGCGGACGGGUGAGUAACACGUGGAUAACCUACCUAUAAGACUGGGAUAACUUCGGGAAACCGGAGCUAAUACCGGAUAAUAUAUUGAACCGCAUGGUUCAAUAGUGAAAGACGGUUUUGCUGUCACUUAUAGAUGGAUCCGCGCCGAAUUAGCUAGUUGGUAAGGUAACGGCUUACCAAGGCAACGAUGCGUAGCCGACCUGAGAGGGUGAUCGGCCACACUGGAACUGAGACACGGUCCAGACUCCUACGGGAGGCAGCAGUAGGGAAUCUUCCGCAAAGGGCGAAAGCCUGACGGAGCAACGCCGCGUGAGUGAUGAAGGUCUUCGGAUCGUAAAACUCUGUUAUUAGGGAAGAACAAAUGUGUAAGUAACUAUGCACGUCUUGACGGUACCUAAUCAGAAAGCCACGGCUAACUACGUG